rnacentral:rRNA from 1 species
GACGAACGCUGGCGGCGUGCUUAACACAUGCAAGUCGAACGGAAAGGCCCUGCUUUUGUGGGGUGCUCGAGUGGCGAACGGGUGAGUAACACGUGAGUAACCUGCCCUUGCCUUUGGGAUAACUUCAGGAAACUGGGGCUAAUACCGGAUAGGAGCUCCUGCUGCAUGGUGGGGGUUGGAAAGUUUCGGCGGUUGGGGAUGGACUCGCGGCUUAUCAGCUUGUUGGUGGGGUAGUGGCUUACCAAGGCUUUGACGGGUAGCCGGCCUGAGAGGGUGACCGGCCACAUUGGGACUGGGAUACGGCCCAGACUCCUACGGGAGGCAGCAGUGGGGAAUAUUGCACAAUGGGCGGAAGCCUGAUGCAGCAACGCCGCGUGCGGGAUGACGGCCUUCGGGUUGUAAACCGCUUUCGCCUGUGACGAAGCGUGAGUGACGGUAAUGGGUAAAGAAGCACCGGCUAACUACGUG